rnacentral:rRNA from 1 species
GAGGAAUAUUGCACAAUGGAGGAAACUCUGAUGCAGCAACGCCGCGUGGAGGAUGACGCAUCUCGGUGUGUAAACUCCUUUUAUGAGUCAAGAAAAUGACGGUAGCUCAUGAAUAAGCACCGGCUAACUCCGUGCCAGCAGCCGCGGUAAUACGGGGGGUGCAAGCGUUACUCGGAAUCACUGGGCGUAAAGGACGCGUAGGCGGUCUAGCAAGUCAGGUGUGAAAGCCUAUGGCUCAACCAUAGAAUUGCACUUGAAACUGUUAGACUAGAGUAUGGGAGGGGCAGAUGGAAUUAGUGGUGUAGGGGUAAAAUCCGUAGAUAUCACUAGGAAUACCAAAAGCGAAGGCGAUCUGCUGGAACAUUACUGACGCUAAGGCGUGAAAGCGUGGGGAGCAAAC